rnacentral:rRNA from 1 species
AUUGAACGCUGGCGGCAGGCCUAACACAUGCAAGUCGAGCGGAUGACGGGAGCUUGCUCCUCGAUUCAGCGGCGGACGGGUGAGUAAUACCUAGGAAUCUGCCUGAUAGUGGGGGACAACGUUUCGAAAGGAACGCUAAUACCGCAUACGUCCUACGGGAGAAAGCAGGGGACCUUCGGGCCUUGCGCUCUCAGAUGAGCCUAGGUCGAAGUAGCUAGUUGGUGAGGUAAUGGCUCACCAAGGCGACGAUCCGUAACUGGUCUGAGAGGAUGAUCAGUCACACUGGAACUGAGACACGGUCCAGACUCCUACGGGAGGCAGCAGUGGGGAAUAUUGGACAAUGGGCGAAAGCCUGAUCCAGCCAUGCCGCGUGUGUGAAGAAGGUCUUCGGAUUGUAAAGCACUUUAAGUUGGGAGGAAUGGCAGUAAGCUAAUACCUUGCUGUUUUGACGUUACCGACAGAAUAAGCACCGGCUAACUCUGUGCCAGCCGCCGCCGUAAGAC